rnacentral:rRNA from 1 species
GAUGAACGCUGGCGGCGUGCCUAACACAUGCAAGUCGAGCGGAGAUAAGAGGCGUACUUGUACAAAUUUUAUCUUAGCGGCGGACGGGUGAGUAACACGUGAGUAACCUGCCCUCAAGUGGGGAAUAACAUCGGGAAAUCGGUGCUAAUACCGCAUAAUGUCCUGAAACCGCAUGGUUUUAGGACCAAAGGAGCAAUCCGCUUAAGGAUGGACUCGCGUCCGAUUAGAUAGUUGGUGAGGUAAUGGCUCACCAAGUCAGCGAUCGGUAGCCGAACUGAGAGGUUGAUCGGCCACAUUGGGACUGAGACACGGCCCAGACUCCUACGGGAGGCUG